ACCUCACAUGUGAUAGCCAAUCUGGCCACCAGGGGACAGCAAAUUUCUCUUAUUUUUAAUGCACUCGGACACAUUCCAAGAGGGGAAUUAAGUUGAAUGACAGCCAUAAGCGGGACAGGGAGUGGGGCAGGAAUAACAUAAGCAACAGCGAAGUUCUCGCCCUUGUUUUUGGAUUCCCGGGGAUUCCUCCAACCGUGCCUCAACAAGUGAUUAUGGCUCUUUAAACUGCCAGCGAGUGUGGACCCUUUCAGGUUUCCUGGAAGCCAGUGGGAAAGGUACAGCACGAUAUAGAAGAAACAUGUGCAACUGAGUGAGAAGGGGACCUUGGAAAGAUUGUGAAAAUUUAUUUAGAUCAAAAGGAGUCUGGAGUCGCGAUGUCCUCAUGAGAACAAUACUUGGAAAGUCACUGAGGAAGACACUGAGGAAGUCUCGAAAUGCAUCUGACUUUAUAAGGAUGGAUCUAGGAGGACUCAAACUCACCUGGAAUCUCAAGAUUAUAUGAUCUAGUCAACAUAUGUCUGAGGAUGUUUACAAUACUUGAAUUAAUUACCUAACCAGGAUAUGUCUGAGGACUUUUAAUGUAUUAUGACAUUUCAAAACAAUCCUUGUGAAGUUUUAAGUAAUUGUAUGCAGCAUUUUAACCUUUUUAAAAUUUAUUAAAAAUACCCAUUUAUAUUCUUA